GGAUAGCUCAGUGGUUGAGCACAAGCUUAGCAUGCACGAGGUCCUGGGUUCAAUCCCCAGAACUUCCA
rnacentral:tRNA from 1 species